GGCUCAGGAUGAACGCUGGCGGCGUGCUUAACACAUGCAAGUCGAACGGGAUCCACCGGGCUUUGCUUGGUGGUGAGAGUGGCGAACGGGUGAGUAAUGCGUGACCGACCUGCCCCAUACACCGGAAUAGCUCCUGGAAACGGGUGGUAAUGCCGGAUGCUCCAGUUGAUCGCAUGGUCUUCUGGGAAAGCUUUCGCGGUAUGGGAUGGGGUCGCGUCCUAUCAGCUUGACGGCGGGGUAACGGCCCACCGUGGCUUCGACGGGUAGCCGGCCUGAGAGGGCGACCGGCCACAUUGGGACUGAGAUACGGCCCAGACUCCUACGGGAGGCAGCAGUGGGGAAUAUUGCACAAUGGGCGCAAGCCUGAUGCAGCGACGCCGCGUGAGGGAUGGAGGCCUUCGGGUUGUAAACCUCUUUUAUCGGGGAGCAAGCGAGAGUGAGUUUACCCGUUGAAUAAGCACCGGCUAACUACGUGCCAGCAGCCGCGGUAAUACGUAGGGUGCAAGCGUUAUCCGGAAUUAUUGGGCGUAAAGGGCUCGUAGGCGGUUCGUCGCGUCCGGUGUGAAAGUCCAUCGCUUAACGGUGGAUCCGCGCCGGGUACGGGCGGGCUUGAGUGCGGUAGGGGAGACUGGAAUUCCCGGUGUAACGGUGGAAUGUGUAGAUAUCGGGAAGAACACCAAUGGCGAAGGCAGGUCUCUGGGCCGUUACUGACGCUGAGGAGCGAAAGCGUGGGGAGCGAACAGGAUUAGAUACCCUGGUAGUCCACGCCGUAAACGGUGGAUGCUGGAUGUGGGGCCCGUUCCACGGGUUCCGUGUCGGAGCUAACGCGUUAAGCAUCCCGCCUGGGGAGUACGGCCGCAAGGCUAAAACUCAAAGAAAUUGACGGGGGCCCGCACAAGCGGCGGAGCAUGCGGAUUAAUUCGAU
rnacentral:rRNA from 1 species